AAGCCCCUCGGUCUGCUGAUAAGGUGGGUUCUGCACUACGACUGGUCGAAUUGGCACUCAGUUUAGCGUGGAUGCAAGGAAGAGCUACCUAUUGCCAUUGCUGUUUUGCCUUGUAUUUUAUUUAUGAUUUCUACAAUUUGUUUUGCCUUGUAUUUUAUUUAUGAUUUCUACAAUUUGUUUUGUUUACGUGUACUAUAUCUCGCACACAGACGCGGCUGUCUGGGCUGGCUGAUUGUGGGUGAUCUGUCUUGUUACGCCUGCAUGUCCGUGUGCUUUGA